ensembl:misc_RNA Metazoa_SRP Metazoan signal recognition particle RNA
GCCGGGUGCGGUGGUGGGCACCUGUAAUCCCAGCUACUCAGGAGGCUGAGGCAGGAGAAUUGCUUGAACCUGGGAGGCAGAGUCUGCAGUGAGCCGAGAUCGCACCACUGCACUCUAGCCUGGGUGACAGAGCAAGACUCCGUCUCAA